rnacentral:rRNA from 1 species
CCCCUACUCCUACGGGAGGCAGCAGUAGGGAAUCUUCCACAAUGGGCGCAAGCCUGAUGGAGCAACACCGCGUGAGUGAAGAAGGGUUUCGGCUCGUAAAACUCUGUUGUUGAAGAAGAACGUGCGUGAGAGUAACUGUUCAUGCAGUGACGGUAUUCAACCAGAAAGUCACGGCUAACUACGUGCCAGCAGCCGCGGUAAUA